rnacentral:rRNA from 1 species
ACCGUGUACGUACAAGCAGUGGGAGCACAGGUUUACCUGUGUGACUGCGUACCUUUUGUAUAAUGGGUCAGCGACUUAUAUUCUGUAGCAAGGUUAACCGUAUAGGGGAGCCGAAGGGAAACCGAGUCUUAACCGGGCGUUAAGUUGCAGGGUAUAGACCCGAAACCCGGUGAUCUAGCCAUGGGCAGGUUGAAGGUUGGGUAACACUAACUGGAGGACCGAACCGACUAAUGUUGAAAAAUUAGCGGAUGACCUGUGGCUGGGGGUGAAAGGCCAAUCAAACCGGGAGAUAGCUGGUUCUCCCCGAAAGCUAUUUAGGUAGCGCCUCGUGAAUUCAUCUCCGGGGGUAGAGCACUGUUUCGGCUAGGGGGCCAUCCCGGCUUACCAACCCGAUGCAAACUGCGAAUACCGGAGAAUGUUAUCACGGGAGACACACGGCGGGUGCUAACGUCCGUCGUGAAGAGGGAAACAACCCAGACCGCCAGCUAAGGUCCCAAAGUCAUGGUUAAGUGGGAAACGAUGUGGGAAGGCCCAGACAGCCAGGAUGUUGGCUUAGAAGCAGCCAUCAUUUAAAGAAAGCGUAAUAGCUCACUGGUCGAGUCGGCCUGCGCG